rnacentral:misc_RNA from 1 species
GGUGAAGAACGCAGCUAAAUGCGAUAAGUAAUGUGAAUUGCAGAAUUCAGUGAAUCAUCGAAUCUUUGAACGCACAUUGCGCCCCUUGGUAUUCCGAGGGGCAUGCCUGUUCGAGCGUCAUUAUAACCCCUCAAGCUCAGCUUGGUGUUGGGGCCUGCUGCACUGGCAGCCCUUAAAAUCAGUGGCGGCGCCAUCUGGCUCUAAGCGUAGUAAUUCUUCUCGCUAUGGAGUCCUGGUGGAUGCUUGCCAUCAACCCCCAAUUUUUCUAUGGUUGACCUCGGAUCAGGUAGGGAUACCCGCUGAACUUAAGCAUAUCAAUAAGCGGAGGA